rnacentral:lncRNA from 1 species
UUCCAUUCUUAUAUUUUAUUAUGAUUUACUUUUCUUUUACAUUUUUCACUCUUUUCUCUGUGUAUCAAAUUUGAUUAGGGAGUUCAAGUUCCAAUAAUUUUUCAUUUUUUCAUAUUCCUUGUUCAAGUUUGUCAUUGAUUGUAUGCUAUUAAACUUUGUUGUGGAUUAUUUUAUUUUUUGGUUUGAUAUUAUUGUUUUUUGGGCAGCGGGGUUAGAACUUUUCCGGGCAGCUUUUUUGCUUUAAUUUACUGAUUUUUU